rnacentral:lncRNA from 1 species
AGUACCGACAGCUCGGAAUGUUAAUGGUAUUUAUUGCAGAUUUGCAUGUAUUUCUAACCUGCAGUAGAAAAUGCUAAUCCGAAGAGUUGCCUGGAACUGCUUCUACAGGAGAUGUGUUUGUAGUGAGAAUUCCUAUUUACGCACUAUGUGCGAUCCAAAUCGUAGUCAUUCAUUUAAUGUGUUUGAAUGUUAGCCGUUGGUGUGAAAUUGCAGCCUUGAUGUGCAGUUUAUGACACACCGACAGUCAUAGUACACCUAACAUCGUGCCGGUAGGGUGUUGUGGCUCUGCUAUGUAGUUAUUGUUUGAUGUUUUUUUAGAGCAAAGGGAACAUCUUUUUUUAUUAUGAUUUGCGUUUUAGCAUUGGCGAAAAAAGGGAAUGUUUUUUGUUCUGGUUUAACAUUGAUGUCAAGCGAUUUUUCUUCCUUCUACUGUUAUGUGGUUUUUAAUAAGUUUUUUCAAUGAUAAAUAUUUCUUUUGCUGGUCAUGUUGAAUACUGUUCAGUGGGAAUGAAUCAUAAAAUUCAUAGUUUAUAUUAACUGCCCAGUUGAUUUUUCUUUAUCAUAGUUUUAUCAAUUUCAAUCUCUAAUCACGAUAGAUUAGUUUGUUUUCCUCUUCUGUCAAGAUGUAUGAUUUGUUCUCUUUUUUGGAGGAUAAAGUGAAUUACAACAGUUCAUGGAUGUUUUUCUGCCAAUAUAUACUGAAUCGUAUUUUUGAAUUUUUCUUCUUCUCCUGAAUCCAUCACAUUGUAGAUUCUUUGAACAGAAUGAAGAUUAUCAAGGGAAUGGACAUCACUGAACUAAUGGCAUCAGGUCGGGAGAAGCUUGCUUCUGUACCAUUCCGGUUGCGGUGUUGCAGUUGCAGCAGCACCUAGUUCAGGUGGCGCAGUACGGGCCACCUGAAUGUAAGUAUUCUGAUAAACAUCAUCCUAAUGGGAUAUGGUAUUCAUUUUUGCCUUGUUUUUGCAGGAUAUGAUGGGAUUCAGCCUGUUCGAUUAAAUGUUGCUAAAUGUGUCUUAAAAAUUUCAAAUGCCCUCCAUCGCUCCCUCCAUUUAGAUUCUAUUCUAGCAAUUUUUUGCUUGUUUGUUGUUCAAUGAUUUAUGUUUCUUUUAUUAAAUGUUGUUGCUACUCCUUUCUUGUAGUUUUAUUUUCAAACCAUUUUAUUUAAUGAAUAAUUUAAUGAAAAUCUCUUCCCAAA